UUCAGAUUCUCAUUCUCAGUGUAGAAGUGAGGAGCUGCAGCUCAGGGCAGCAUGGAGCUGACAGGAUGCAGAUGUGCCCCAGUGUGUGGCUGGACCAGGAAGGUUGGCUGUGGAAGGGAACACAGGGCAGUGCAGGGACAGGGUCCUGUGUGCAGGGCAGGCUGGGCUCCACAGUUCUUCACAUUGAGCCCAUAGGCUCACAGGGAACAUCAGACACUGUUGUCUAAAGAGAACUGAGGGCUCUGUGUGUCACAGGAGAGACCUGAACACACUGGCUGUCACUCAGUCCACUCCAGGCAGCUGUCUUCAUGCUAGAGAAUGAGAGUCAUGAAUCAUCACUGUGAGGACAACAUCCCAACAACCCACAGCUCACAGAGGAGUCU